UCAAUGAAAUUUCAGACAGCAGGCUAAUGAGCGGAUAGAAGGGCGUGUGAUGCCUAGAUACACAAAACUCAAUUUUCCCUCGUUUGAUGGCUUCGAUGAUCCGCGAUACAAUGACUUGGCUCGACAACUUUCCGAGCUGGUUCGAACCUUUAAAAGAGGAAUAAAUCAUAACCCAGAUGGAACAAGUAGUAGUCAACAAAAUUUCAGCCAGCAGGCUAAUGAGCAGAUUAAAAGGUG
rnacentral:misc_RNA from 1 species